ACUGGUCUGUGAGAGGUCUAUAUAAUGUGUUGUAAAGGACUGGCCUGUGAGAGGUCUAUAUAAUGUGUUGUGAAGGACUGGCCUGUGAGAGGUCUAUAUAAUGUGUUGUGAAGGACUGGUCUGUGAGAGGUCUAUAUAAUGUGUUGUGAAGG